GAGGAAAAGAAACUAACAAGGAUUCCCCUAGUAGCGGCGAGCGAAGCGGGAAGAGCUCAAAUUUAUAAUCUGGCACCUUCGGUGUCCGAGUUGUAAUCUCUAGAAAUGUUUUCCGCGUUGGACCGCACACAAGUCUGUUGGAAUACAGCGGCAUAGUGGUGAGACCCCCGUAUAUGGUGCGGACGCCCAGCGCUUUGUGAUACAUUUUCGAAGAGUCGAGUUGUUUGGGAAUGCAGCUCAAAUUGGGUGGUAAAUUCCAUCUAAAGCUAAAUAUUGGCGAGAGACCGAUAGCGAACAAGUACCGUGAGGGAAAGAUGAAAAGCACUUUGGAAAGAGAGUUAACAGUACGUGAAAUUGUUGGAAGGGAAACGCUUGAAGUCAGACUUGCUUGCCGAGCAAUCGGUUUGCAGGCCAGCAUCAGUUUUCCGGGAUGGAUAAUGGUAGAGAGAAGGUAGCAGUUUCGGCUGUGUUAUAGCUCUCUGCUGGAUACAUCUUGGGGGACUGAGGAACGCAGUGUGCCUUUGGCGGGGGUUUCGACCUCUUCACACUUAGGAUGCUGGUGGAAUGGCUUUAAACGACCCGU
rnacentral:rRNA from 1 species